ACCUCACCGCAUAUGUGCCAAAAGGAAAAUCAAAAGGUGCUCCUCAAGAUGCCACUUGUAAGAGUGGAAGUGCAUGAAGGACACUUAGUGCAAGAGUGAAAACAUGGUGAGGGUAUGAAAAAGUUUUGCAAAAGUAUGGUGCAUCUACAAGACCACAAAAUUCAAGUAGACUAGCAGCUAAAGAAUGUUGAUUUUGAAACAUAAAUUUUAGCAAAAAGCUAACAAAGUGGUAGCUUUUUUCUAAAAUUUUUGUUUCAAAACAUUUUUUAUUGGCUGUUAUUUUAAAUGACUCUGUGUGGUUAUGUAGGAUUGCCAUUACUUUUGGAAAACUUUUUCAUACUCUUACCAUGUUUUCACACUUGCUUUAUGUGUCCUUCAUGCAUUGCCACUCUUACAAGUGGCAUCCGUAGGAGCACCUUUUGAUUGUUCUUUGACACAUAUUUGGUGAGGU
rnacentral:pre_miRNA from 1 species